CCUAAGAGCAUGAAGAGUUCAGAUUUGGGUCUCUUCCCGAGCCCACUCUCCAACCCUUUGUGUACCUACCUCUGUUGCUUUGGCGGGCCGCGGUUCUCCGCGGCCGGCCCCCUGAUCGGGGCUGGCCCGCGCCCGCCAGAGGACCACAAAACUCCAGUCAGUGAACUUUGCUGUCUGAUAUAAAUUCAAUAAACUAAAACUUUCAACAACGGAUCUCUUGGUUCUGGCAUCGAUGAAGAACGCAGCGAAAUGCGAUAAGUAAUGUGAAUUGCAGAAUUCAGUGAAUCAUCGAAUCUUUGAACGCACAUUGCGCCCUUUGGUAUUCCGAAGGGCAUGCCUGUUCGAGCGUCAUUACACCCCUCAAGCUCUGCUUGGUGUUGGGCAGCGUCCUCUCGGACGCGCCUCAAAGACCUCGGCGGUGGCGUCUUGCCUCAAGCGUAGUAGAAAACACCUCGCUUUGGAGGACGGGACGACCGCUCGCCGGACGAACCUUUGAAUUCAUUUUCCUAGGUUGACCUCGGAUCAGGUAGGGAUACCCGCUGAACUUAAGCAUAUCAAUAAGGCGGAGAAAAUUACGAGUUUUGGGUCUCUUCACCGAGCCCACUCUCCAACCCUUUGUGUACCUACCUCUGUUGCUUUGGAGGGCGCGGUUCUCCGCGGCCGGCCCCCUGAUCGGGGCUGGCCGCGCCCGCCAGAGGACACAAACUCCAGUCGUGAACUUUGCUGUCUGAUAUAAAUUAUAACUAAAACUUUCACAACGGAUCUCUUGGUUCUGGCAUGAUGAGGACGCGCGAAAUGCGAUAGUAAUGUGAAUGUAGAAGUGUGAAUCUCAAAUCUUUGAACGCCCAUUGCGCCUUUUGUAUUUCGAAGGCAUGCUGUUUGCGAGGCGUCAUUCACCCUCAGCCUUGCUUGAUGGUGUGGGCGAACGAUCUGAUGACUUAAGAACCUCGCGCACUUGCCUCUGCUCUCUACACGCCGUAUGAGAAAACACACUUCGUCCUCUGUGU
rnacentral:rRNA from 1 species